GGCACGCUCACAUAUGGAACCUUAUGAGAUGUUAUUUUAUGGGUUCUAAUUACACAGGUGACUAUUUCUAUUGUAAGGAUAAAGGGUUCGUUAUGUCUAAUAUGGUAUGGCCUUUUGACCUUAUCAUGACUGUCUUCUGAGGUCUGAUCAGCCUCAGGGGAGAGUCAUUUGUAUAAUGAAUGGAGUCAUAUUGAGUUACUAGUUUUAAGGUAAAUUCAUUAGAAAUGAAGCAGUUUUGGUUGAGGGGUUAGAAUUACUGUUUGAACCGCAAAUGAGAAAGUGGUUCAGGAUUCUGUCUUAUAACAUUAGCUGUGAAGUUGUUGAAUGGGCUAUUAGUGAUUUGGUAUUGUAACAGAGAGAAAGUCAUAUUCAUCAUUGAGAAUAAAUAGGGGAAGAUAACAUAUUUUGAGCCAACAGGGCAGGGAAGAAAUUGAGAUAUUUUUGUUUGGUUUUAACACCCGUGUACAGGAGUGUCAAAAGACGGGGGACAUUACCUGUGUAAUGGGGGAGGGUGUCCGUAUGGGGAUUACAUGAUAACCAACUUGGGACAGUUCUGGGAUUGGAGAAGAGGAUAUCCUUAUGGCAUAGGGGAUCCCACAAAGGUGGAUAGGUUUUCCAUGAUAUGGGGGAAACCUGGGAGCACUGUUGAACUUUGUAAAGGUGAUGAAAUCCUACUAACCAUCAAAACUAUUAAGCUCUCUGAUGCAGGCACUUACACCCUCGGACUACAAAGGACCAUGUCAGACACGAUGGGUGUGUUUUCUAUUAAGGUACUGCCAAAACCAGAGGUCCCAGACGAACCAGGGCCAGACACACUCCUCUACCACCCCUGGACCGAACCUGCCACCACUGGGUUAAAAAUCCCAUUCAGGUAACACAGCUCCGGACGAAUCAGUGCCGAAGCCUCAGCUGUUUUGACCACCCUGGCUCACGGGUUGGCAGAAACUCUGGGGUGGAUACUUCUCUGAACUAAAUUGGGUUGACAGUAUUUAUGGAAAAAUGUGGUGUUAUGGGCCACCUUCACCUGUGUGACUGUGUUAGUGUUGUACGUACGUGGUUGAUUGCGUGUAUGUAUGAAAGUUAUUGUUUCCAGGACUAUGGAGAGAUCAAUGACACUACAGAUGGUGCGUUAUGGGCCGAUUCCAGGUUCUGACCCGUGGAGGACUGAAGGCAUGUCUACAGAGGAAGUGGACGAAUCUGGAUCUUUCAUUCGUGGGGAAUUUAUGUUUGAUGAGAAUAGUGUUGAGAUGAAGGGGAAUUAGAUUGUAAUUUGUUUCAAUGAUUAAACUGUUUUUUAAUAAAGAUUGUAACAAAAAUCCUGAAA